GCAAGUCGAACGAUGAACCACUUCGGUGGGGAUUAGUGGCGAACGGGUGAGUAACACGUGGGCAAUCUGCCCUUCACUCUGGGACAAGCCCUGGAAACGGGGUCUAAUACCGGAUGACACUCCUACAGGCAUCUGUGGGGGUUGAAAGCUCCGGCGGUGAAGGAUGAGCCCGCGGCCUAUCAGCUUGUUGGUGAGGUAGUGGCUCACCAAGGCGACGACGGGUAGCCGGCCUGAGAGGGCGACCGGCCACACUGGGACUGAGACACGGCCCAGACUCCUACGGGAGGCAGCAGUGGGGAAUAUUGCACAAUGGGCGAAAGCCUGAUGCAGCGACGCCGCGUGAGGGAUGACGGCCUUCGGGUUGUAAACCUCUUUCAGCAGGGAAGAAGCGAAAGUGACGGUACCUGCAGAAGAAGCGCCGGCUAACUACGUGCCAGCAGCCGCGGUAAUACGUAGGGCGCAAGCGUUGUCCGGAAUUAUUGGGCGUAAAGAGCUCGUAGGCGGUCUGUCGCGUCGGAUGUGAAAGCCCGGGGCUUAACCCCGGGUCUGCAUUCGAUACGGGCAGACUAGAGUGUGGUAGGGGAGAUCGGAAUUCCUGGUGUAGCGGUGAAAUGCGCAGAUAUCAGGAGGAACACCGGUGGCGAAGGCGGAUCUCUGGGCCAUUACUGACGCUGAGGAGCGAAAGCGUGGGGAGCGAACAGGAUUAGAUACCCUGGUAGUCCACG
rnacentral:rRNA from 1 species